GUCUAUGGCCAUGCUGCCCUGAACAUUUAAGAUCUCGUCUGAUCUCGGAAGCUAAACAGGGUUGGGCCUGGUUAGUCCUUGGAUGGGAGACCACCUAGGAAAACCAGGUGUUAUAGGUG
rnacentral:rRNA from 1 species